rnacentral:rRNA from 1 species
UACGAACGCUGGCGGCGUGCUUAACACAUGCAAGUCGAACGGAAAGGCCCUGCUUUUGUGGGGUGCUCGAGUGGCGAACGGGUGAGUAACACGUGAGUAACCUGCCCUUGACUUUGGGAUAACUUCAGGAAACUGGGGCUAAUACCGGAUAGGAGCUCCUGCUGCAUGGUGGGGGUUGGAAAGUUUCGGCGGUUGGGGAUGGACUCGCGGCUUAUCAGCUUGUUGGUGGGGUAGUGGCUUACCAAGGCUUUGACGGGUAGCCGGCCUGAGAGGGUGACCGGCCACAUUGGGACCGAGAUACGGCCCAGACUCCUACGGGAGGCAGCAGUGGGGAAUAUUGCACAAUGGGCGGAAGCCUGAUGCAGCAACGCCGCGUGCGGGAUGACGGCCUUCGGGUUGUAAACCGCUUUCGCCUGUGACGAAGCGUGAGUGACGGUAAUGGGUAAAGAAGCACCGGCUAACUACGUG